AGUAAAAAUGUACACUUGUGCAUCUUUUUCUUCCUCGUAUGUCUUUUAUGACAAGGUAAUCCUAUAUGGUUUACCAGAUGUUCAUCACGUUCAUCUGGAACCAUUGAUGGGAAAGCUGGGGAUCUCGCCGCCUCCAAUGGCCGCACUGCCACCACCACUAGGAAAAUACAUUUUGUCCGUUAAAACCACAUUCAUUGCCGACAUUGUCAUCAUAAUCCAUUUCACCAAACUCACUACUAAAACUUGCAAAGCAUGCCUUAGUACCUUCCUGAUCCAAUAAAUCAAACCUACGACUAUAUCCCAAAUCCCACAAAAUUCAAGUAGACCCCACCAAUUAAACCCCUAAUCUAGCAGGACUCAGCUUAAAGGUUACAACUUUUUUAAACUUUACCACAUUUAGAAUACUAAACCCUGAAAUUAAUCUCUUAAGAACAAUGCAAAACCUGAGAUGGGUUCCCCUUAAAUAGUUCAAAUAACGCACCGAUCCAACGAAAUAGCUGAGUUCAAGCCAAUUGAGGUGAAAAAACCUAGCUGGGUGAUGAACUAGUUAAAUUUGGGAAAUGGGGUUUGUGGGAAUUGAAAGCAGAAUAAAAAGGGUGUCAUCGUCUUAGUGUGUAUAUUCAUUUGGGGCUGAAGAGUGAGCUCAGCGAUGAGGGAGUCUUUAAGUGUAUUUUUACCCUUGUAUUAACAGAUAUUUAACGGAAAAUUACUUUUGGACUAAAUUUGUUAACGGACUACACCACAAAGGUUUAAAUCUUAAUUUUUUUUACCAUGAGGGCUAUUAGGCAUAUUUUCUUUAACGGGUAACGGUCAGGUCACAUUACCUCUUAAUAUUAACUGGCCAAAUUCAGGUCAUGUCAUAUUACUCAUUCAUUUUUAUUGAUGUUACAUGACACGACCCUUUAAGAUAUCGAGUAUGACAUGAAAAUGAUACAAAUACAAGAAACACAACACAAAUGCCAGGUCUAAUGAAAACUCAAGCCGUUUUGUUUAAGGUCAUUUGAUAACUAAUUCAUUUUUUAUUUUCUUUAAAAACUAAAAACUGAAAAACUUAUUUGAUAACUACUUUCAGUUUUCAUUUUCACAUUGAAAACUACUUUCUUGAGUUUCAAAUUUUGACUUUGAGUUUCAUUCUUUGGUUUUCAACAAAAUUUCAGUUUUUUGUUUUAAAAAGCAUGUAAAAACAAAAAACUAGGGCC
rnacentral:lncRNA from 1 species